UAAAGUCUGUCUAAAGGCAAUUCUGAGAUUUUUUUUCCAAAUACAUAAAAUAUGUUGGAAAAUAGUUGCUGAAAACAUGUGAAAAGACUUUGAAGAUAUAUUACUAAAAUGUGCAGUUAGAGGUUCAAACAGUUUUUCACCAGUUUUC